ensembl:lncRNA
CUAUCUUCAAGAAAUCUAAAUAGGAAAGGAAAACUAAAACACUGGCAGGAAAGAGGGUUCUGCAUUUUCUAUGCUGAUGUGGAAAUUGGAGCUUUCAUUUCUCUGAUGCCAGUGCUUGUCUUUAAGGGAUUUAAAUUCAUGUCUCUUGUCAUCAACGGAGAACAUCAAGACUUUCUGUCUCUAUCUGUGUAAUCAUUUCCAGACUGAUUAGCAUCCUUCCUCAAGAAAUGACACAGGUUUCAAGUCCAACAUCAGCAAUGAGACAUGGCCUGAGUCUUCUGCAUUUCAGAGUCAUUGGUGGAAGAGUCAUCCAGAAGCCCCAUGUCAAGCUGAGUAGGACAGUGCUGAAAAGGAGUCCCCUGGGAACCCUUCACAUACUGUGUUUUGGAAGCCUUUAAAAGAUGAAGAACAAGUACUGCAGGGAUUUAACCAGGACUCAGACCUGAGAUACGUUGAGAAGACUGCUCAAAGUCAAUAAGCACGCAGUGAGAAACCUUUUCAUGCCAAAUUUGUGCCCUCCAGCCCAGCUGUUUCAGUUCAAAUGUCUUUGGAAUAAGUUCACAACAGCAACUCUCUUCAUGAAGAAAAGGAACUCGGUCAGAAUGUCCUUGCAGAGGAGCUUGUUCUGGAGGAAUGCUGCCUGCCACCUGCCUUCCAAGGAACUGCCAGCUUUGCCUGGAGAAAAUAGCCCAUCUGCUAAGUUAUACAGCUCUUUCAUUCUUCAGCCCAGGUUACUGGUGAAGACUUUAUAUAUACAGCCGCAUUUUUAAUACUUCCAGCUGUCUGUUUUUCCUGUGAAAGGAAAUCCCUGGAUAGUGGCACAACAAUCCUGAAGGUAUGCCCAGAUUUGCUUCUGAUAUUCAAACACAGCAGUGGGGGCGAAGUCUCCUGCCAGUCUCAGCUCUGCUGACCUUCUGUGAUGCAUCUCCUCUCCCCCUCAGCACAGGUAUGCCUACUAACACGGUGCUGACAGUGAACUCUGAGCGAGUUUCAUCUGUUGCAAGAGGAGAAUAAGGAAGGCAAAGUGCACAAUUAUUUCCUAUUUUGCUUAAGAUAUAGGAAAGAUCAGCAGAAAAGUUAUUGGAAUAGCCCAUAUGAUCUUCUGAAAAGCCUUCUGUGAAAUUUCAUCCAUAAACAAUCCUCCAGAAUAUUUCUGUCUACCUCUUGUCUAUCUUUUAACCUUGCCAUAUCCACAGGGCAGCUUUUCCCAGUUUAUGACAUUCUGGGAAGGAUUCAAGACUAGGAAACCUAUUAGACCUUGUUGUUUUCUGGGUGCUUGGCUACCUCUUUGUUCACCAUCUUUAAAGUAAGAGUUUUAACUUGUGUUAGCAUGCUACAUUGCUUCGAGUUUAGGUAGUGUAAUGGUGGCUGUCAUAUGCUGCCAUACUAAGAUCCAUGGCAAAACAUGGAGGUUGCAUCUAGAUGCCUGCCCAUUGCUGGAACACCUCAUUAACUUUAGAAAAAUGUUAAAUAUUGAUCAAAGUGUGUUUUAUCAGACAUAGUGUGUUGAAUCAGUCAGAUGUUGAAAUUCCUCAGAGACUUCACCUUAUCAGUGUCAUCUCUGAAGUUCUCUAGAAAUAUAGUGGAGCUACUUGGGACCUGUGAUUUGUGCUUGGUGGGUAGGUGGUUUUGGCAUCACACAAUGAGCCUGAACAGGAGGGAAGAGAUGCUGAGAUUUUGUCAUUGGAGCUAGAGCUCCUGGGACCAGGCCGUAAGGAUGCUCCAAG